CCUACGGGAGGCAGCAGUGAGGAAUAUUGGUCAAUGGGCGGGAGCCUGAACCAGCCAAGCCGCGUGAGGGAAGAAGGUCCUCCGUAUCGUAAACCUCUUUUGUCAGGGAACAAAGUCGGGGACUAGUCCCCGUAUUAGUGUACCUUAAGAAAAAGCAUCGGCUAACUCCGUGCCAGCAGCCGCGGUAAUACGGAGGAUGCGAGCGUUAUCCGGAUUUAUUGGGUUUAAAGGGUGCGCAGGCGGCUUGUUAAGUCAGCGGUAAAAGCUCGGGGCUAAACCCAGAAGAGCAGUUGAGACUGGCAGGCUGGAGUUGGAGAGAAGUACGCGGAAUGCGCGGUGUAGCGGUGAAAUGCUUAGAU
rnacentral:rRNA from 1 species